rnacentral:tRNA from 1 species
GCCCUAGUAGCCUAAUACCCAAGGCAUCGGUCUUGUAAACCGAAGAUUAGAGAUGAAAACCCUCUCUAGAGCA